rnacentral:rRNA from 1 species
CGAGAAUUUUUCACAAUGGGCGCAAGCCUGAUGGAGCGACGCCGCGUGGGGGAUGAAUGGCUUCGGCCCGUAAACCCCUGUCAUUUGCGAUCAAACCUUGCUAUUUAAAAGAUGGCGAGCUGAUAGUAGCGAAAGAGGAAGGGACGGCUAACUCUGUGCCAGCAGCCGCGGUAAUACAGAGGUCCCAAGCGUUGUUCGGAUUCACUGGGCGUAAAGGGUGCGUAGGUGGUGGGGUAAGUCGGACGUGAAAUCUCGGAGCUCAACUCCGAAAUGGCAUUGGAAACUACCCUGCUAGAGGGUCGGAGGGGGGACUGGAAUUCUCGGUGUAGCAGUGAAAUGCGUAGAUAUCGAGAGGAACACCAGUGGCGAAGGCGAGUCCCUGGACGACUCCUGACACUGAGGCACGAAAGCUAGGGGAGCAAACA